UCUUUUCCUUUUUUUUCAGCCGCCGCGGUAAUACGUAGGGGGCAAGCGUUAUCCGGAUUUACUGGGUGUAAAGGGAGCGUAGACGGCACGGCAAGCCAGAUGUGAAAGCCCGGGGCUCAACCCCGGGACUGCAUUUGGAACUGCUGAGCUAGAGUGUCGGAGAGGCAAGUGGAAUUCCUAGUGUAGCGGUGAAAUGCGUAGAUAUUAGGAGGAACACCAGUGGCGAAGGCGGCUUGCUGGACGAUGACUGACGUUGAGGCUCGAAAGCGUGGGGAGCAAACAGG
rnacentral:rRNA from 1 species